rnacentral:rRNA from 1 species
CUCCUACGGGGGGCAGCAGUGGGGAAUAUUGCACAAUGGGGGAAACCCUGAUGCAGCGACGCCGCGUGAGUGAAGAAGUAUUACGGUAUGUAAAGCUCUAUCAGCAGGGAAGAAACCCACCCUUUGGGGUGGCUGACGGUACCUGACUAAGAAGCCCCGGCUAACUACGUGCCAGCAGCCGCGGUAAUACGUAGGGGGCAAGCGUUAUCCGGAUUUACUGGGUGUAAAGGGAGCGUAGACGGCAGCGCAAGUCUGGAGUGAAAUCCCAUGGCUUAACCAUGGAACUGCUUUGGAAACUGUGCAGC